rnacentral:lncRNA from 1 species
AAUCUUUAAAAAAUGGAAGUAUGGAGAGGAAGGGAAGGGGAAAAGCAAUUUAUAGAAUUUCAGAACCGUUGGAUUCGUUCCAAGUGGCAAAAUCUUGUGAAAAGAGUAAAAGAAAAGUUUAAUUGCAUGAAAAAUGAGGGAGGAAAAUUUCCUCCUCCGGCGAUGGCGGCGCGUUGCUUAAGGCAGCAGUGGAUCUCUGCUCGAGGUGACAGAGCCUGGUCGAGGUGCUGCAGACUAGCUUAUAGGCACACAGGCCUGCAGCCGCGUUCACUGAGCCUAGGUGUACUGGGCGCCGCACGCGCAGGCCUACUGCGCAGGCCCUAGGCGCAUAGGGUCU